CAGAGAUUCAAAGCCUUCUUCUACAUACACGCCAACAAAGGAGGGAGACUGCUGGCAUGCAUGAUCAGAAACCAACAAGCUAGGACUCAGGUACAUGAACUGCGAACGACCAAGGGCACCCCCACACAACACCCAGAGGCAAUAAGUGAACAAUUCCACACAUACUAUCAAAAAUUGUACAAAAUCGCUCCAGCGAACCCUGUCAUACAUCGGGAUGGCUACGACGCAAUAUCUACAAGGCUUUAGUCCUAUCGCCAGAGGAGGCAAACAUGCUAGAAACCCCAAUAACUGCAGACGAAAUCCAAGCGGCG